GACGAACCGUGCGAACGUUGUUCGGAAUCACUGGGCUUAAAGGGCGCGUAGGCGGGUGUGCAAGUCUGUGGUGAAAGCCUCCAGCUUAACUGGAGAAGUGCCAUGGAUACUGCACAUCUUGAGGAGGGUAGGGGCAUCUGGAACGGUCGGUGGAGCGGUGAAAUGCGUUGAUAUCGACCGGAACUCCGGUGGCGAAGGCGAGGUGCUGGACCCUUUCUGACGCUGAGGCGCGAAAGCCAGGGGAGCAAACAGG
rnacentral:rRNA from 1 species